AAUACCUCUAAAGGUGGUAUAUCAACAAUUCUUAUGCUACUGUCUGAGAAAACAGAUUCUGCUGUUACCUAAGAAAUCAGCUGGGAGGCAUUUUUAUAAUCUUGCACCACAUAAGGAAAAACUGAAAGGUAGUACUAAUAAAUGCAAACUACAUCACCUGGAAAAUGGGAAUCCAGAAUGUCACUUUAAAUAUUUAAGUGUUGUAACUUUGGGUAAAAAAUAAAUAUGAUAAAAUAAAUCUUUUGGUAAGCUUUGUGUAGCUUAACAUCAGCAUAAAGUAGAAAAAAAAUCUUAAAAACAAUAGCCUACACUAAAAAACAAAACAAAACUAACAUCCAAUUCAUAUAUAUUGAUCUUUGCAUUGGGAGAGUCUAAAGCAGAACAUUUGAUGGACUUGAUACAGUUAUUUUUACCAUAUGGGCAUACUGAUAAAAUCAUCUAUAUUUAAUUUGAAUAAAACAUGUUGGCAGGGCACGGUGGCUCACGCCUAUAAUAUCAGCACUUUGGGAGACCGAGGUGGGCGGAUCACCUGAGGUCAG
rnacentral:lncRNA from 1 species